rnacentral:rRNA from 1 species
CCUACGGGAGGCAGCAGUGAGGAAUAUUGGUCAAUGGCCGCAGGGCUGAACCAGCCAAGUCGCGUGAGGGAUGACGGUCCUAUGGAUUGUAAACCUCUUUUGUCAGGGAGCAAAGGGCGGCACGUGUGGCGUUUUGCGAGUACCUGAAGAAAAAGCAUCGGCUAACUCCGUGCCAGCAGCCGCGGUAAUACGGAGGAUGCGAGCGUUAUCCGGAUUUAUUGGGUUUAAAGGGUGCGCAGGCGGAAUGUCAAGUCAGCGGUAAAAUUUCGGGGCUCAACCCCAUCCAGCCGUUGAAACUGGGGAUCUAGAGUGUGCGAGAGGUAUGCGGAAUGCGUGGUGUAGCGGUGAAAUGCAUAGAUAUCACGCAGAACCCCGAUUGCGAAGGCAGCAUACCGGUGCACAACUGACGCUCAGGCACGAAAGCGUGGGUAUCGAACAGGAUUAGAUACCCUGGUAGUC